rnacentral:lncRNA from 1 species
GGAGGAUGAAGGUCCACAUAUAUAGGAAUUGUCCUAACAGCGAGUGGUAACGCUGUUCCUUUACCCUUCUCGGUCAUAGCAAUGUAGUGGGAGCUGCAAGAUUCACGUGUUUUAACUUUGUCAGAGCACUUUGAAAAAGUGGUAUGUGGUAUCUGGAAAGCUGAUGUUGCAUGUGAAGAUUGCAGACAAGCUUUAUCCAAGGAAAUCUAGCUCUCGAAGUUUGGAGAGCGGUGCCUCUUCGGUUUUUGAACAAGCAAUCCUGUCGGGGAUCUGGCUCU